rnacentral:lncRNA from 1 species
GUAAAAAGCCUGUCCGACCGGUUCUUUCGUCUGCGCAAGCCGAUAAAAACAAACAACCCGAGACCCACCCCCUCCCGGGCAACCACCACUCUCGUCACUCGUCCAUCCGGCCUCUCUGACUCUCUGACUCUCUCAACCUCUCUUCACUCUUUAGUCUCCAAUCUCCCUCCACCUUCCGGCUUUCAGCCUCCAGUUCACCCGCCUUUAGCCGUCUGCUUCUUCGACGACCGUCCCUGCUGAAAAAUGAGAAAGUCAGAAAGACAGGUUUGGUGGUAAAGGACAAAUGAGAAUUGAAAAGAGUUAACGAUAAUAAUUUUUUAGGUUUGCGUACUUUAUGACAACCCGAGACCCACCCCCUCCCGGGCAACCACCACUCUCGUCACUCGUCCAUCCGGCCUCUCUGACUCUCUGACUCUCUCAACCUCUCUUCACUCUUUAGUCUCCAAUCUUCCUCCACCUUCCGGCUUUCAGCCUCCAGUUCACCCGCCUUUAGCCGUCUGCUUCUUCGACGACCGUCCCUGCUGAAAAAUGAGAAAGUCAGAAAGACAGGUUUGGUG